rnacentral:rRNA from 1 species
CCUACGGGAGGCAGCAGUGAGGAAUAUUGGUCAAUGGGCGCGAGCCUGAACCAGCCAAGUCGCGUGAGGGAUGAAGGUUCUAUGGAUCGUAAACCUCUUUUAUAAGGGAAUAAAGUGUGGGACGUGUCCUAUUUUGUAUGUACCUUAUGAAUAAGGAUCGGCUAACUCCGUGCCAGCAGCCGCGGUAAGACGGAGGAUCCGAGCGUUAUCCGGAUUUAUUGGGUUUAAAGGGUGCGUAGGAGGCCUUUUAAGUCAGCGGUGAAAGUCUGUGGCUCAACCAUAGAAUUGCCGGUGAAACUGGGGGGCUUGAUUAUGUUUGCGGCAGGCGGACUGCGUGGUGUAGCGGU